CUGACAGGUUUAUCAAACAGAGGCAGAAAGCUCUCUCGGAACUCUGCAGCCGCAGCGGCUCUGAUUAUUUCACCAUCGGGGUUCGGUCCAACAUGGCGGCUUACGGAUGGAAAUACUGAUGACAGUCCGAAAGAUCGCCUCGAUUUGUACGAUGGGCGCCAAUGCCUCUGCCUUGGAAAAGGAGAUUGGACCGGAACAGUUUCCCGUAAAUGAACACUACUUUGGCUUAGUUAACUUUGGAAACACCUGCUACUGUAACUCAGUGCUGCAGGCUCUGUAUUUCUGUCGACCGUUCAGGGAGAAGGUGCUGGCGUA